CUUGCUCCAGGGAUUAGUGGCGAACGGGUGAGUAACACGUGAGUAACCUGCCCUUGACUCUGGGAUAAGCGCUGGAAACGGCGUCUAAUACCGGAUACGAGCUUCAGCCGCAUGGCUAGGAGUUGGAAAGAAUUUCGGUCAAGGAUGGACUCGCGGCCUAUCAGCUAGUUGGUGAGGUAAUGGCUCACCAAGGCGACGACGGGUAGCCGGCCUGAGAGGGUGACCGGCCACACUGGGACUGAGACACGGCCCAGACUCCUACGGGAGGCAGCAGUGGGGAAUAUUGCACAAUGGGCGAAAGCCUGAUGCAGCAACGCCGCGUGAGGGACGACGGCCUUCGGGUUGUAAACCUCUUUUAGUAGGGAAGAAGCGAAAGUGACGGUACCUGCAGAAAAAGCACCGGCUAACUACGUGCCAGCAGCCGCGGUAAUACGUAGGGUGCAAGCGUUGUCCGGAAUUAUUGGGCGUAAAGAGCUCGUAGGCGGUUUGUCGCGUCUGCUGUGAAAUCUGGGGGCUCAACCCCCAGCCUGCAGUGGGUACGGGCAGACUAGAGUGCGGUAGGGGAGAUUGGAAUUCCUGGUGUAGCGGUGGAAUGCGCAGAUAUCAGGAGGAACACCGAUGGCGAAGGCAGAUCUCUGGGCCGCUACUGACGCUGAGGAGCGAAAGCGUGGGGAGCGAACAGGAUUAGAUACCCUGGUAG
rnacentral:rRNA from 1 species